CUUCUUCCAUGAGUCCCGUUCACCACACCUGUGCUGCCAUGGCGUAGCUCCACCUUGCGCUCCUCAAUCGAAAUCUCUUUGUGUAGGUAAUUCCGCCCUCUUUUUACAUGUUUCAUCUGCUGCUUGGCUUCUCAUCCAUGACUAGAAUUAUCUUUUGCUUGCUUCAGCUACAGGCGGGGAUCGAUGUUCCGAUUUAUCAGUGCUUGGCUACAGGUGGUGCUCCGGUAUAUCGCCGCAUGGCUUCAGGCGGCGGCGGCCGCGGCGUCGGCAGCGGCGGAUAAACUGGAUGCUGCGUCGCUCUCGCUUCAGGGGACGGCGGCGAUGGAUUUUCCUGCUACUGUUUCGCUUGGCCCCCUCCACCGGCAGCUCCAUUCAUUCAGGGCCGCCAAGAACAAUCUCCCAAACGGGGUUAGCGAGGGCCAGGUCCGGCGCCUCGAAGAAGAUCUGGAGACACUGUUCACCGAGCUCAAGAUCGUGUCGGAGGCGGACGACCCCAGCUUCACGGCAAGGUGCUGGAUGAAGGAGGUGCGGGAGCUCCGCUACGACGCAGAGGACUUCUUCAACGAGGUCCCGCGCUCCUCCCCCGGCGCCGGCAGAAGCGCUCUUCACACCCUCAUUCUUUCAAUCCCCAGAAAACUGAAGCGGCGGCGCCAGGUUGCAGAAGCUUUCUCAGAUCUGUGUGCUCGUGCCAAGGAUGCGAGUCAAAGACGCCAAAGUUUCCAGCUUGGACCAGCAACCAUCAAACCUGAAUUUGGACAAGUCAAUGUCAGCCGCUCCAAGAGCCUCGGACUUAUUGGCCUUGAGGAGUCCAUGGAUAAGCUUGUCAAGCUGCUGGCUUUGGACGACCAAGAGAUUGCAGAGCUGCUGGCUUUUGACAGUGAAGAUACAGAGCAACUAGUUCAGGUGGUACCCAUCUUUGGAUCUGCAGGUGUUGGCAAAACAACACUUGCCAGAACCUUCUAUCGGAACUUCGGGGGGAAAUUCCAGUGCCGGGCUUUCGUGCGGGUAUCUCGAAAUCCAGAUAUGAGGAGGAUACUUUCCAGCAUGCUCUCACAAAUUAAGGCGCCACCGGUUCAUGGCUUUCCUGAUGUGCAGGACCUUAUUGACCAUGUCAGAGAAUAUCUGCAAUGCAAAAGAUACUUGAUUAUAAUUGAUGACUUGUGGGCCUCCUCGACAUGGGAUAUUAUUAGCCGUGCUUUUCCUGAUGGUGAUUGUUGCAGCAGAAUAAUAGUAACCACGGAAAUCAAGGAUGUAGCAUUGGGAUGCAGUAGGUAUCAGUUUAAGUACAUGUAUGAGAUGAGUCCUCUUAAUGGUGAUCAGUCAAGACAGUUAUUCCUCGGUAGAGUUUUUGGGUCUGAAAAUGGUUGUCCUCCAGAUUUCAAAGAAGUUACAUAUGAGAUUAUUCGAAAAUGUGGAGGUUUACCAUUAGCAACUGAAAAUAUAGCCAGCAUGUUAGCAUGUGAAUUAAACUUUGAUCAAUGGAAGCACAUACGAGAUUCUUUACCCUCUGUUUUGAGAUUGAGGACAGACCCUAGUUCGGAAGGGUUGAAAGAAGUUCUGAACAUUAUUUAUGACAAUCUUUCACCAUAUUUGAAGACAUGCUUGCUAUAUCUUAUUAUGUAUCCAGAGGGAAGCACUAUCAGCAAGGACGAAUUAGUGACACAAUGGGUAAUUGAAGAUUUUAUCGGCGAAGGGCAAGACAGGGAGAAAAUUGCACGGUAUUACUUUGAUGACCUUGUGAGUAGAGGAAUGAUCCAACCUGUUGAUAGAAAUUAUAACGAUGAGGUGUUGACAUGUCUUCCUGACAAGGUUCGUCGACUGUCUGUCCAGUUCGGUGGUGCAAAAUGUGCAAAUAUACCGGCAGACUUUAUGAUGACUCAAGUUAGAUCGCUUAUAUUUUUUGGCUUCUUGAACUGUGUACCUUCCUUUGUGGAAUAUAAGCUGCUUCGAGUUCUGAUUCUUCAUAUCUGGGCUGAUCAAAGCAAAAUAUUUGACCUCACUAGAAUUAGCGAACUGUUUCAGCUGAGGUAUCUGAAAAUUGAUUGCAACAUCACUGUCCAUUUGCCAGAUGAGAUUCAGCAGCUACGAUUCUUGGAGACAUUAGAAUUGCAUGCACCAGUAAGUGAUAUGCCAUCGGAUAUUAGUUGCUUGCCCUUACUUCGCACUCUGGGCUAUUUUGAUCUCGGCAAGAACUCAAUAGAGAAUGUACAGAGCCUUGGCGAGCUGAACAAUCUCCAAGACCUUCAUCUCACCUGGUCUAACAUAGCAGACCCUGACAACCUGAAGAACAAUAUGCAAUGCCUGGGCUCAAUUCUCCGGAAACUCAGCAACCUCAAGUCUUUAACUCUAGUACGUGCAGCCUCCUCUCAUCCAGAUGUUUUAGACGAUGCUGGUGGUGCAAUCUUGGGUAUUACUGGCGAUGUCUUGAGCAGCGUGUCCUCUCCCCCACCCCUUCUUCAGAGGCUUGAGCUGUCGGGGCGCUGUUGCAUCUUUGCCAGCCUACCCGAGUGGACCAAAGAACUUGGCAAUCUCUGCAUUUUGAAGAUUUCAGUUAGGAAGUUGUUGAGGAAAGAUAUUGAUAUCCUCAAAGGAUUGCCAGCCCUCAUGGCUCUCUCGCUGUACGUUUGGACUGCCCCUGUAGGAAAGGUCGUCUUUGAUAGUGAGGGGUUCUCAAUUCUCAAAUACUUCAGGUUUACAUGUGCUGCCCCAUGCCUGGCAUUUCUGAUAGGAUCAAUGCCUAGUGUCCGGGAGCUUAAGCUAGCAUUCAAUGCUAAUAGAAUGGAGCAAUACAGCCAGAUAGUUGCUGGCUUAGAGUACCUGAUAGAACUUAAAGAGAUAACUGCAAAAGUUGGGGGCACUGGUGCGGAUGAAUCUGAUAAAAGGUACGCGGUGUCGGCAUUGAGUGGCGCCAUUGCCAAUCAUCCAUGCUCUCCUAUAAUCACAGUACAAUGUGUAGAUCGGAUUUUGUAUGGUGAGGACGAUACGAGUGCCGUCACACAAGAACAAGAACACUGGACUCUGGAAGAAGAACAUGAGAUGCAAGAGGAAUCGCUUGAUCCUCUUCCUGAACUUGUUCCCAUUCCAAGCACACAAACACAAAUGAGAGAUGGAAGCCAGAAUGGAGGAACAGAUAGCUCAAGGGAGGUGCUGACACAAACAAGAGAGGGAGUUCAGGAUGAAUUAAUAGAAAGAUCGAUGGAGGUCCUGACAUAUGAACAGGAACAUGUAACUCUGGAAAGACAACACGAGAUUCAUGAGGAAUUGCUUGAUCCUCUUCCUGAAGUUCUUUCAACUUCAAGCACACAGACACAAGUGAGAGAGGAAGUGCGGGAUGGAGAAAUAGAGAGAUCAAUGGAGGUGCUGACACAAGAGCAAGAACAGCAUACCCUGGAACAACAAGAUGAUAUGACAGACAGAGUGCUGAAUGUACAAAUAGGGACAUUGAUGGAGGUGCUAGCACAAGAAGAACAAUGGCGCAAUAAUAUGCAGAAUAGUGGAAUCGGGAAAUCGAUGGCGGUGGUGAGCGCUUCCCAUGGCACCUUGGACCCCCUACUGGACAAGCUCAAUGCUUUGCUCGCCGAGGAGUAUGGCAACUUGGAAGGUGUCCUCCAUGAAGUCAGUGCCCUCAAAUCUGAGCUGACAUUGAUGCAUACGGCGGUGAGAAAGUACACGAUGCUAGAAGAUCCAGAUGUCCAGGUGAAGUUAUGGCUAUCGUUGCUGAGGGAGUUCUCCUAUGAUGCAGAGGAUUACAUUGAUAAGUUCAUUCACCAGCUCGACAAUGGCGGACAUCAUGGCGGAUUCAAGCAGAUCUUCGGCAAGACUGCUUGCCAGCUGAAGACGCUUGGAUCUCAGCAUGAAAUUGCAGAAAAAAUCGAUGAGCUGAAAGAUCGUGCCAAGAACUUGAAAGCGAGUAGUUACAAGAUGGAUGAUACUGCUUGCAUCACAUCUUGCCAUUCCACCGUGGAUCCCCAGUUGGCUGCUCUUUUUGUUGAUUCUGCACACCUUGUGGGCAUUGACAGUCCAAGAGAUGAUCUUGCCAAGUGGACGGUCGAAGUAGGAAACAGCUCAGCCAAGCAUCAUUGCAGGAUGUUAUCUAUUGUUGGGUUUGGCGGAUUGGGAAAGACAACACUAGCGAAUGAGGUGUAUCGCAAGGCUAAAGGGCAUUUCCAUUGUCAGGCUUUUGUAUCAGUCUCACAAAAGCCGGAUAUAAAGAAAAUUCUCAUGAACUUGAUCUCCCAAGUGUCUCCCCAUGGAUUCACGAAAGAUACUUACAAUUGGGACAAAAUGAGAUUAAUUAGAGAGCUAAGAGAACUGCUAAAGGAUAAGAGGUAUCUUGUUGUCAUUGAUGAUAUAUGGUCCAUAUCGGCAUGGAACAUUAUCAAGUGUGCUUUUCCAGAGAAUAACUGUUCUAGCAGAGUUAUAACUACUACACGCAUUAUUGAAGUUGCAAGGUCAUGUUGUAUGGGUCAAGAUGACCGCAUGUAUGAAAUGCAACCCUUGAGUGAUUUUCAUUCUAAAAGAUUGUUCUUGAGAAGAAUUUUUGGGUCCAAGGAUAGUCCCGAUAUGCUGGAAGAAGUUUCAAAUGAAAUUUUGAAAAAAUGUGGAGGCCUACCAUUGGCAAUUAUCAGUGUAUCUAGUUUAUUGGCAAAUAGGCCAGCUAACAAAGAGGAGUGGGAAAAAGUUAGUGCAUUGGACAAAGACAUAGGUCUAGAGGAAAUGAACAGAAUACUAUGCCUUAGCUACAAUGCUCUUCCAGAUAAUCUCAAGACUUGUUUGUUGUAUUUAAGUAAUUUUCCUGAGGGCUGUGUGAUUGAGAGAGAGAGAUUAGUGAGGCGGUGGAUAGCAGAAGGCUUUAUCUCUGAAAAUCAUGGGCAGAGUCAGCAAGAGGUCGCAGAGUGGUAUUUCUAUGAGCUUAUCAAUAGAAGUAUGAUUCAAGCAGUGGACAUCUGCUAUGAUGGUAAGGCUCGUGCAUGUCGAGUCCAUAAUAUGAUGCUUGAACUCAUCAUUUCGAAGUCAGCUGAGGAUAAUUUUGUCAUGGUGAUUCGUAGCAGGCAGACUGGUUUGGUAAAUCGCCAUGGUUGUAUUCGACGGCUAUCAGUCCAGCACAUUGACCAGAAUAUUGCAUCUGUAUUGGCAAAUGAAGAUCUAAGCCAUGUUCGCUCUUUAACAGUAACAUCAUCAAGUUGCAUCGAACACUUGCCUAGUCUUGCUUGCUUUGAAAAUUUGCGUGUACUAGAUUUUGAAGGGUGUGAUGGAUUGGAAAAGUAUCACAUGAAGGGUCUUGGCAAGUUUUUCCAACUAAAGUACCUGAGCCUUAGGGGCACUUGGAUAUCACAUCUACCAUCAGAAGUUGUGAUGUUACGUAAUCUAGAGACCCUAGAUAUUAGGGAGACACAUGUAGAAGAGUUGCCUGCUGAAAUUGUCCACCUUACGAAGCUACAACAUCUUAUCGCUUCAACAGAUUAUGUAAUGCCUGGAAUAAAGAUACCAGAUGGAAUCGGGAAUAUGAGGAACUUACGGGUAUUGUUGGGCUGUGGUAUCAGCUCGGGUUCUGUUGGUGCACUAGAGGAGCUCGGUAACUUGACCAAUUUGAAUGAGCUCGAUGUACAGUAUUGGGGAAUAGGAUCCGAGUACAAGAGGCAUGAAGACAGGUUCCUCUCCUCAUUAAUCAAGCUUGGUAGCUGCAAGCUACAGUCUUUUAGGAUAUGGAGGAAGUGCCCUGGUGAUGUCAAGUUCUUAGAAUCAUGGCUCCCUCCGCCAUUUUCCCUCCAAAGAUUUGAGAUGAGUGGCUGCUACAGUUUCAAGUGGAUUCCAUGCUGGAUUUCACCAGCACUGACCAGUCUUGCAUACCUAGAAAUUAAUAUAGUGGAAGUAACGCAGACGGAUCUGUGCAUACUUGGAGAGAUGCCUGCCUUGCUUCACCUGGGGCUAACAUGCCAGACUUUCAGAAAAGAAAGGCUUAUUUUUUACAGCAGAGGAUUCCAGCAUUUGAAGGAAUUUGUGUAUGAUGUUUCUGUAUUGCCAUCGGGAAACCUUCUGUUUAUGGAAGGGGCACUGCCAAUGCUUGAGGAUCUUAGCCUAAUCUACUGUGUAUCAAUGGUUAAUGCCUAUGGGUUUUUCCUGGGUAUCGAGCACCUCCCAAGACUCAAAAAUGCACAAGUUCGCCUCUACAAACAGGGCGCGGCAUCUUCUGAUAUCGCUUCCGCAGAAGUUACUAUCAGGAAUGAAGCAGAUGACAAUCCCAACCGUCCCAGAGUAACUCUGGUGGAACAUGUAAAGAGAGAGGAUUAUUGCUCCGACGGUUGUCCUAACAGAACCGUGGCAGUUGAAGGACUAGAUGCCAAUACAACUAACCAGAAGGGUGGAUCUCGAAAGACAACAAAUCAAACUACAAAUCGUUGAGAAGCCUAUUUCUCAGCCGCGUGUCUUACCCUUUUUAGGGAACUUAUUAAAUUCAUGAAGAACUACAAGUGGGAGGUGGCGAGCUGCGCUCGCUCGCCUGGAACGCUCGGACAAAGCCUGGGAUGAAGCAGAUGACAAUCCCAACCGUCCCGGAGCAACUCUGGUAGAACAUGCCAAGAGAGAGGAUUAUUGCUCUGGCUAAUGAAUGUUCUAACGCAACUGUGACAGAGUUCUGCUGACAAAUCCAGAAUUAGUUGCCAAUACAACAACUAAGCAAAAGGAACUUAAAUUCAUGAAGUACACUGCUAGUGAGAACUGGCGCGCUGCUGCCCGCUCAACUGGAACGCUGUGGUGAAGCCUGGAACGCUCGAGCAAAGGGGCCGGCCCCGGAUGGAGGGGUCAGUCAUAAAUGCUACUCCCUCCGUCCCAUAAUGUGACCCUAGUGUCAAAAAACGUCUUACAUUAUUGAGACGGAGGGAGUAUUUUCUAUGUGAUACUAUGAGAAUUUUGUUGUUGUUGAACUCUGUAUCCUAUUGUUUUCACUGAUUAAGAAUUAAGCUUGCCUCUUGGGUUGGAGCCUUGGUCUUAUUUACUGGAGUAUUUCCUUUUUGUGUGUGUUGUAAGCUUAUCCAACGACUUUUAUCAACCGAAGAGGUGGAAAUGUACAGGAGAUGCAGGCUCUUCAUGGACCCUGCAUGCAUGCUUCUUUACAUCUCCUCUUGUGGCAUUUGCAGCAAGGAAGGCCGGCCAUCUGAAUUUACAACAUUCUCUGGUGCACUUUUACACUAUGAAUUGUUGUCAAACUGUUGAUUAAGCAUGGGAUUGCAAAAGACUCUGAAUGUUGCCUCGUGUAUUGAAAAUGUGUAUAGGCCAGCUAUUGCACGGUUGGUUUAUAUGGUGUAAUAUGUAUUUCGUGAUUUACUUCAUGAGUUAGAC
rnacentral:rRNA from 1 species